rnacentral:rRNA from 1 species
GCAGUCGAGCGGACUAAUGGGAGCUUGCUCCCAUAAGUUAGCGGCGGACGGGUGAGUAACACGUGGGCAACCUGCCCUGUAGACUGGGAUAACACCGAGAAAUCGGUGCUAAUACCGGGUAAUCGAUUGAAUCGCAUGAUUCAAUUGUAAAAGAUGGCUCCGGCUAUCACUACGGGAUGGGCCCGCGGCGCAUUAGCUAGUUGGUAAGGUAAUGGCUUACCAAGGCGACGAUGCGUAGCCGACCUGAGAGGGUGAUCGGCCACACUGGGACUGAGACACGGCCCAGACUCCUACGGGAGGCAGCAGUAGGGAAUCUUCCGCAAUGGACGAAAGUCUGACGGAGCAACGCCGCGUGAGUGAUGAAGGGUUUCGGCUCGUAAAGCUCUGUUGUUAGGGAAGAACAAGUGUCGUUCAAAUAGGGCGGCACCUUGACGGUACCUAACCAGAAAGCCACGGCUAACUACGUGCCAGCAGCCGCGGUAAUACGUAGGUGGCAAGCGUUGUCCGGAAUUAUUGGGCGUAAAGCGCGCGCAGGCGGUCUUUUAAGUCUGAUGUGAAAGCCCCCGGCUCAACCGGGGAGGGUCAUUGGAAACUGGGAGACU